rnacentral:lncRNA from 1 species
UUUUUUUUUUAGUUUUUACAAGUCAAAACUGGCAGCCACGGGUUUACCUGAAAUUCGUAACAAUAUGGGCUUGAUUUCAAUUUUUUGUAAGCUUUAUGGGUCGGUGACGGGUAAAAUCCGUGUGAAAAAUUCACGGGCAACGGCUAGGGGGUACCCACCCCGUAUCCGACCCAUUGCCAAGCCUACUCAUUAGCCAAACAAGAUGAUUCUCACACCACAAUAAAUUUGCCCAACAAGUCUAAUGAUUCGAGAGUUAGGUCCCGAGAGAUGGUCCCGACAGAUCAUGGUCGUUGGAUCGGGCUUCUUUUGGGUCAACCUUCCUCUAGUGGUUGAAAAUGAGUCAAACGAAUUGACUUGAAUGGGGUAGUUUGAGAAUUAAAAAAUUGGAAAAAAUCACGUAGGUGUGGUCAUUAUAUGAGCAUAUUAUGUCGCUAAUACGACCAUGUUACAGGCUCCUUAUGCGUUGUUACGUCCACCUUACGAGUAGUUGAAUUUAUCAUUGUUAUGUCCAGUUUACCACUCUUUUAUGUGAGUGAUAUAUAAACUUUACCAGUCUGUUAUGCGUUUUUAUUAUGUCCUUUUAAUAGGCUCAUUAUGUGGACUUCAUAUGUAAAUUGUUAUAUCCACUUUACGACAUUAUUACAUCGUUGUUAUGCUAUUAUUAUAUCCAGUUUACGUGAGAAGAGUAGAGGAUAGAAAAAGAAAAGCUGAAAGAGAGAGAAUAUUUUUAAAUUCCUGUUAUACCCCUGAUAAAAUUCCAACCGUCAAAUUGAAAUUGGCGAAACUGAUUCUAGACCGUUGAACCUCUGUCUGGAUAAUCCGAGAGAUUGGGCAUUUCAGAUCUUUAGCAAUUUCACUCAUAAAUACCACAUUUUCAAAAUACUUAUCAUUUUAUUCCAAAAUACCACAUAUCCAAAAUAUCUCAUCCGAAGGACCCGCAAGAAAUGAGAAUAUUGCAGAUUUUCAAUUAUAAGAUCAUCCUAUAGAAUUUCCGUAUCGGUUGAAUAGUCGGGGUUUAUUUCAUUGUCUUGCUCUACUCCUUGGCCCAUUUGAGAGAAAUCUAACACGACACAUUUUCAACCAAAUCGGAAGCAAAUACCGAUCAAAUAUCAUUGAGACGAGCAUACAAAUAGGCAAGAUAGGUAAGAUAUUCACCACGUUUCGAGUUGAUAUCACCACCUAUACUGGGCACAAACCGUUGUUCAUUGAGGACAAAAUUUUGAAAGACUGUCCUACUUAUACAAGUACUAUAAGUAGUAUGCAACUAGUUACAAGAAUUGCAUAACUAAUUAUAAACAAUUCAUGUAACCAAUUACAAACGCGUAACUAGAUAUGCAAAUAGCGUUGAUACCCAGCAAUUAUAGCUAGUUACCAAGUAAAUAUUAUGCAGAGGUAGUCUGACUCCCGCUACAUAAAUAUAUAAAGCAAGUAUCAAGUUUAAGAAACAACAUCAAUAAAAGUGUGAAAAUUCUGCACCAUUUAGGUUAUCAUAAAAAAUGAUGUCCCGUGUGUUCUACGGUUAAAAUAACAACAAUGUCGCAAUCUUAGGAUUUUUGACAAGUACAUGAUUGUUCUGACUGGGCUAAAAUGAAAACAUGACACAAUUCAACACAUAAUUCAAACGGAAGCCUGGCCUGACUCAUUCUGAAAUCUCAGUUCCGAUAUGAUAAUAGCAGCAGCUGCAGAGCUGAGACAUCCAAGCGCAUAUAAUUUUCACCACUUGAAUCAG